AGGAAGGUCUCCAAACAGACAGGGGCCCACGCACCGGCACGCACGCACACAAAGACCCAAGGCCAGUCUGCGGGCUGUGCAGCUGGCGAGCCUGUGUCCCCGUCCCCAUGCGUGCCCUCAGGAUUUCAUGACAAGAAUGAAACUGAUCAGGCAGCCUCCAGCUCCAUAAUUAGGGCCAAUUGAAGGAGACAAAGAAAUCUAUGGAGAUCACAGUGGGAAGUGGUAGUGAUGAACGCUGGCUUUGAAACAGCGUUUUGUACUCACUGGACCAUCACUGUCUUUACAUAAAAGCUGCCUGCCUCCUUUCCCUCACUCCCCUCCCUGGGAGCAGAGGCCGCCGGGGAGGCAGGCUCCAGACAGCCCCUCCAGCAAUUGCCUUUUCUGGGUCAGGCCUCAUUUCUCGUGGCACGACAGGAGGAGGACGGGGGGCGGUUAUGACAACAAAACCACCCUGGGGCCCAGACCUGGAAGCCGUCAGCUAUGGAGGACCCUGGAAGCAGGCAGAGAAAGGUUUGGAGUUUUCAGUGCGAUGACACCAGCGUGCCUGCGGAAGUGGCUGUGUCUCCUCUUGCCUCCUUCCCCACCCAAUUCCGCCCCAGGAGCCCAGGGAUGGAGGCCCAGGAGACGGAUCCCACAAGAGCCAGCACCCACUCCACCCCAGGAGCUCAGCAAACAUCCACAGAGUGAACAUUCCAAGCAACAUAGUCCAGGAGCCACGUUCCAGCCAUGGGGCCUCUGCACUGCUGUUCUCUUCACAUGGCCUGCCCUUCCCCCAGAAAGAGAGAAGAGGCCCUCUCUGGUUGUCCCAUCAAAACUCCACCCUUCUCUCACCCUCCUCCCAGCUGUAUCCCUUCUCUGCAGCCCUAACAUGCAUUCCACUUUAUUUCCCUUGUCUACUGUCUGCCUCUCUAACUACUAAGUCAGUUCCAGCCGCUCCAGGAUUUUUGUCUUUUCAGUUUAGCCCUGGUUCCUCAGGGCCUUAGUGACUAGUGUGUAGUGCCUAGCAGCCAGUAGAUGCUCAAUAACUGCUUGCUGAUUGACUGGGGUGAGCUCCCCAUCCAUGGAGCUAUUUCAAGCCAAGCCUAGACGAUCUUUCAGGGCUAGUUCUAACCUAAGACUUGGUAGUUCCAUGACUCUCUUCCUGGCCCAGACCGAAAAGGAACUUUCAGCAGGAACCCGGGACUGGGAUCUGAGAUGGGGCUCCUUGGAGGACUCUGACUAGGAAGAGAGACGGGAGGCCGCACCAAAAACACAAGCCCUUCAUGGGUCUCCCAGGCGUAGGUCUGGGGAAUCCCCCAGGCCCCUCAGGAUCGACCCUGCUGGCCCUGGAUCUCCAGGACGCGUCCCUCUGACCUGCCUGCCCGGCCUGUGAGUCCCCGGCAGCAACCGCUGCAGACACAGGCUGCCCAGCGCCAGGGCCAGGCCGGAUUAUCAUACAUUAAGACAUAAUUACUCUGCGGAAAUUUACAAUACAAAGCGCCCUCCCCAAGUUGGCUUCAGAAGGAUUCCAAGGAUACAAAGACCUGCUGUGUCUGCCACCGACCCAAGCUGGCCCCAGCCAGAAUUUCAAAAGAAGUGGGUGGGUUAGUUUUUGGAAAAACCCCAUUCUACCCUCCAGGCAGAAGCCCCGCCCCAAGGGUAGAGCCCUCUGAUACCCCAAGCCCCACCCAGAGGGGAGGGUCCCCUCCACCCCGACCAGCGUUGCUCCUAAACCACUCGGGUUCCCCCAAGCCCAGAAGCUCCAAGCUGACACCACCAAGGUCACCCCACUUCUCCCAAGUUCUCUCUUUUUAGACUAUUUAGGCCUAAGGGCAGAAAGAACCUUAAAUCCCAAGAUGCUAGCUUUUGACCUGCAGAGAGGUGUGGCAGCCCACUGACAUUGAUUAAGCGCCUGCUGUGUGCCUGGUACUGUGCCAGCAUCAGGAUGCCACAGAGAACAAGACAAACCAGAUCGCUGUGCUGGGGGGAGCUUACAGUCCAGUUGAGGAGACGCAGUAAGAUGCUAAAAAAAAAAAAAAUGCACAUCAGGUGUGCAGGAUGGGUGAGUGACCGGGGUGCACGGUGGCCAGAGAGCCUCAAAGGUGGCAUCUGAGCAGAGGCCUGAAUGAGCAAGAGAGACUAGCCUGUGCAAAGGCCCUGAGGUGGGGCCAUGUGUGGUGAGGGGUAGUGGAGGCAGAGAAUGCUGGCUUUUACUCUCAAGAGGGUUUCCAGCAGGGAAGCUGCCUGAUUCGGGGGACACUUGGCCUGCUGUUCUGUUAGAUUCCUGCAUCUACCACCUCCUGGCCCUGGGAUGCUGGGCAAGUCAGUUAGCCCUUUAAGCUUUUGUUCCUCCCUGCAAAAUAAAAACAGUAACCACAGCUAACACACGCUUGUUGCACAGAACAAGACAGAGAAAGUCGGGAAAGGGAGGGCCAUGCAUGUGAGGGGCGGGGGAGAAGCUCUCUGAGCCUUAGCUGCCCCA
rnacentral:lncRNA from 1 species